AUGCCGCGUGUGUGAAGAAGGCUUUCGGGUUGUAAAGCACUUUCAGUGGGGAAGAAGGCCUGGCGGUUAAUACCCGUCAGGGACGACAUCACCCACAGAAGAAGCACCGGCUAACUCCGUGCCAGCAGCCGCGGUAAUACGGAGGGUGCGAGCGUUAAUCGGAAUUACUGGGCGUAAAGCGCGCGUAGGCGGCUUGAUAAGCCGGGUGUGAAAGCCCUGGGCUCAACCUGGGAACGGCAUCCGGAACUGUCAAGCUAGAGUGCAGGAGAGGAAGGUAGAAUUCCCGGUGUAGCGGUGAAAUGCGUAGAGAUCGGGAGGAAUACCAGUGGCGAAGGCGGCCUUCUGGACUGACACUGACGCUGAGGUGCGAAAGCGUGGGUAGCAAACAGGAUUAGAUACCCUGGUAGUCCACGCCGUAAACGAUGUCGACUAGCCGUUGGGCUCCUCGCGAGCUUAGUGGCGCAGUUAACGCGAUAAGUCGACCGCCUGGGGAGUACGGCCGCAAGGUUAAAACUCAAAUGAAUUGACGGGGGCCCGCACAAGCGGUGGAGCAUGUGGUUUAAUUCGAUGCAACGCGAAGAACCUUACCUACCCUUGACAUCCUCGGAAUCCGCCGGAGACGGUGGAGUGCCUUCGGGAACCGAGUGACAGGUGCUGCAUGGCUGUCGUCAGCUCGUGUUGUGAAAUGUU
rnacentral:rRNA from 1 species